rnacentral:lncRNA from 1 species
UUGAUGUUCUCUGUGUCUUAUUUUGAAAGGACUGGAGUAUGAAGAACACUUGGGAUUUUUCCUGUUCUCUCUUGAAUAGGAAAUGAAUUCCUAUCAUCAGGAGUUGUGAAAAUUGGAUGAAACCUCCUUCUCAAGUUGUUCCAGAUUAAGAGUUUGUAUGAGUUUGAGAGACCUCCCAAGAAAUUUCACUGAAACAGAUUCAUAAAUGCUUGUGUAAUAGAGCCCCCCAAGGAGUUUCGCUAUAACAGGUUUCUGCAUUACUGAAUGUCAAGAAUAGCC